UACGUAGGGACCGAGCGUUGUCCGGAAUCAUUGGGCGUAAAGAGCGUGUAGGCGGCCUUUUAAGUCCUGCGUGAAAUCCUGCGGCUCAACCGCAGACGGUCGUGGGAAACUGGAAGGCUAGAGUGCGGGAGAGGAGAGUGGAAUUCCCGGUGUAGCGGUGAAAUGCGCAGAUAUCGGGAAGAACACCCAUGGCGAAGGCGGCUCUCUGGAACGCAACUGACGCUGAGACGCGAAAGCGUGGGGAGCAAACAGG
rnacentral:rRNA from 1 species